GAUGAACGCUGGCGGCGUGCUUAACACAUGCAAGUCGAACGGAAAGGCCCAAGCUUGCUUGGGUACUCGAGUGGCGAACGGGUGAGUAACACGUGGGUGAUCUGCCCUGCACUUCGGGAUAAGCCUGGGAAACUGGGUCUAAUACCGGAUAGGACCACUUCUUGGAUGUUGUGGUGGAAAGUUUUUUCGGUGUGGGAUGAGCUCGCGGCCUAUCAGCUUGUUGGUGGGGUAAUGGCCUACCAAGGCGUCGACGGGUAGCCGGCCUGAGAGGGUGUACGGCCACAGUGGGACUGAGAUACGGCCCAGACUCCUACGGGAGGCAGCAGGGGGGAAUAUUGCACAAUGGGCGCAAGCCUGAUGCAGCGACGCCGCGUGGGGGAUGACGGCCUUCGGGUUGUAAACUCCUUUCGCUAGGGACGAAGCGUUUUGUGACGGUACCUGGAGAAGAAGCACCGGCUAACUACGUG
rnacentral:rRNA from 1 species